rnacentral:rRNA from 1 species
GACGAACGCUGGCGGCGUGCUUAACACAUGCAAGUCGAGCGGUAAGGCCUUUCGGGGUACACGAGCGGCGAACGGGUGAGUAACACGCGGGUGAUCUGCCCUGCACUUCGGGAUAAGCCUGGGAAACUGGGUCUAAUACCGGAUAUGACCUCCUAUCGCAUGGUGGGUGGUGGAAAGAUUUAUCGGUGCAGGAUGGGCCCGCGGCCUAUCAGCUUGUUGGUGGGGUAAUGGCCUACCAAGGCGACGACGGGUAGCCGACCUGAGAGGGUGACCGGCCACACUGGGACUGAGACACGGCCCAGACUCCUACGGGAGGCAGCAGUGGGGAAUAUUGCACAAUGGGCGAAAGCCUGAUGCAGCGACGCCGCGUGAGGGAUGACGGCCUUCGGGUUGUAAACCUCUUUCAGCAGGGACGAAGCGCAAGUGACGGUACCUGCAGAAGAAGCACCGGCUAACUACGU